rnacentral:rRNA from 1 species
UACGAAGGGGGCAAGCGUUGUUCGGAAUAACUGGGCGUAAAGGGUGCGUAGGCUGCUAUGUAAGUAAGUUGUUAAAUCUCUGUGCUCAACACAGAACUGCAUCUUAUACUGCAUAGCUCGAGCAUGGUAGAGGAAAUAGGAAUUCCUAGUGUAGAGGUGAAAUUCAUAGAUAUUAGGAGGAACACCAAAUGCGAAGGCAAAUUUCUGGGCCAUAGCUGACGCUGAGGCACGAAAGUGUGGGGAGCGAACAGG